GCUGGCCGCGCAAGUCCAUCGGGAAAUCCACCUGCUCAACAGGUGGGCGCCCGGUAGAAACUGCGUGGCUUGGGACCGGGAGGCGCGACGGGUACGUCCGGGGUAGGAGUGAAAUCCCGUAAUCCUGGACGGACCGCCGAUGGCGAGAGCACGUCGCGAGAACGGAUCCGACAGUGAGGGACGAAAGCCAGGGUCUCGAACCGGAUUAGAUACCCGGGUAGUCCUGGCCGUAAACAAUGUCUGCUAGGUGUGGCUCCCACUACGAGUGGGUGCUGUGCCGUAGGGAAGCCGCUAAGCAGACCGCCUGGGAAGUACGUCCGCAAGGAUGAAACUUAAAGGAAUUGGCGGGGGAGCACUACAACCGGAGGAGCCUGCGGUUUAAUUGGACUCAACGCCGGACAUCUCACCAGCAUCGACUGUAAUAAUGACGAUCAGGUUGAUGACCUUAUCCGAGUUUCAGAGAGGAGGUGCAUGGCCGCCGUCAGCUCGUACCGUGAGGCGUCCUGUUAAGUCAGGCAACGAGCGAGACCCGCAUCCUUACUUGCCAGCAGUACCGCGAGGUAGCUGGGGACAGUAGGGAGACCGCCGUGGCUAACACGGAGGAAGGAACGGGCAACGGUAGGUCAGUAUGCCCCGAAUGUGCUGGGCAACACGCGGGCUACAAUGGUCGAGACAAAGGGUUCCAACUCCGAAAGGAGACGGUAAUCUCAGAAACUCGAUCGUAGUUCGGAUUGUGGGCUGCAACUCGCCCACAUGAAGCUG
rnacentral:rRNA from 1 species